rnacentral:misc_RNA from 1 species
UGGUUCUGGCAUNGAUGAAGAACGCAGCGAAAUGCGAUACGUAAUGUGAAUUGCAGAAUUCAGUGAAUCAUCGAAUCUUUGAACGCACAUUGCGCCUAAGAGUAUUCUUUUAGGCAUGCCUGUUCGAGCGUCGUUUAAACCCUAAAGCAUUGCUUUUUGUUGGCAUUUCGGAUUUUUGUUCGAGUGCCCAAAUACAUUGGCGAUUGAAGUAGCCGAAAGCGCAGCGAAAUGCGAAUUGAAAGCUACGGAAAGUCCGCCAGUUUACUCUUAAACUCGACCUCGGAUCAAGCAAGAUUACCCGCUGA